rnacentral:rRNA from 1 species
UACGUAGGGUGCGAGCGUUAAUCGGAAUUACUGGGCGUAAAGCGUGCGUAGGCGGUCCGCGAAGUCUGAUGUGAAAGCCCCGGGCUCAACCUGGGAACUGCAUUGGAAACUAACGGGCUCGAGUGUGGCAGAGGGGGGUGGAAUUCCACGUGUAGCGGUGAAAUGCGUAGAGAUGUGGAGGAACACCGAUGGCGAAGGCAGCCUUCUGGGCCAACACUGACGCUCAUGCACGAAAGCGUGGGGAGCAAACAGG